ACUUAGGUAGCUUAAAGUUAGAGCGUUACAUUGAAGCUGUAAAUGUGACAGUAUUGUCCUUAGGUG
rnacentral:tRNA from 2 species